CAGUCGCCACGGUAAUACGAAGGCCCCGAGCGUUGUUCGGAAUCACUGGGCGUAAAGGGAGCGUAGGCGGCGUGGUAAGUCAGAUGUGAAAUCCCGGGGCUCAACCCCGGAACUGCAUCCGAUACUGCCAUGCUAGAGGAUUGGAGAGGUAGCUGGAAUUCUUGGUGUAGCAGUGAAAUGCGUGGAGAUCAAGAGGAACACUCGUGGCGAAAGCGAGCUACUGGACAAUAACUGACGCUGAGGCUCGAAGGCCAGGGUAGCGAAAGGGAUUAGAUACCCGAGUAGUCCCUGUCUCUUAUAC
rnacentral:rRNA from 1 species